AGGUACUUCCUGUCCAGACGGGCAGUGGCCCCAGAGCCUGGGAAACCUGCCCCACAGGUGCCAUUGACCUUUAGAUGGGCUGUACGGUGUGGGGUUCGGUGCCAUGGAUCUGCUUCUCCAGGGACCAGGAUCUUGAGAUCUUCAGGCUGGGUUUCCAUGGAGGCAUGGAGCUGCUUUUCCUCCUUCAUAACUGCACUCAAAACAGCCCUGUUGCUCUAGAAUGGAGACUUGGGCAACUCCUUCUGGCACAGAUUUGUUCACCUCAGGUGAAAUUCAGAUAGAAGCAAGCUGCAGGCAGUUUCACCUCUAAGUCCAUGGGUUCUCAACUGGUAACGUCCUCUUAUGGAUGUUAGCCCAUGAGGUCAAUCCUGUAGCAAUCUAAGGCUUGAGAAAAAUUAAUCUUCUGGAAAAUUCCAAGAAUACAUCUUAGGGAAACUGGCUCUACCUUUAUGACUUGGAUCACACAAGGAUAUGCUUUUCAUCUUGGACUAGAACUGAGAGCCAAUGGAUGUGUUAUCUAAAACUAUCCCAGUGUGUUCACUAUACAGAGGAAGAUUCUGAGAUUCAAGACUCAAGACUGAAGAAGAUCAUUAUUUUUAUUAUUUUAGUCUUAUGCACAAAAUGAUAUCUACUGAAUAAGCAGGUUUUUAAUAGGUGACUUAUAUAUGUUAGCAAAAAUAAACACUUUGUCUUUUAGAUCUAUUCUAGUUUUUCAGUAGCUGUAGACUUAAGUGCUAACUUUUAGCCCAUAGGAUAAGAAGAAACCAAGUCCUAAAAGUAGGCCAGCACCAGGGUUCAGGCCUCUGACUUCAAGCCAAGGGCUCAUCAUCUUGAAUUGCGCACGAAUUUUUACACAGCGCCAAAGGAAACUGCCUGUACUUACUGUUGUAGGUGCUUUGCUGGAUUCAGGAUGCAGACAAGGUCCACGCAUUGUGGUUGGAACAAUGACUAGAUCUUUACCUGGUCCACAGCCCUCCCCAGUCUGGCUGCAACCUCUCAUGAGGCUGAGCUCACCAUGAACCCCUGCUCUAGGCGUCUGCAUAGUGUUCUGUUUGUCCCCGUGACUGUCCACCUCUUCUUUGGCCUGUUGGCAUGCGCUUAUCCUCCAGACCUCAGUCCAAAGCCUCCUGCCCCUGUCGCCAGAAUGGCUGAGCCUGUUGAUGACAAAGCCACAGCUCACAGGCUGACAAUUUUGUCUGGAUUUCUAUCAAGGCCGGGAGUGCAGUCAAUAGCACAUGCAGGAAAUUUUAAAAGAUCAAGAGCAGCUGACAACAAAAUCCACUCUGGGAUGUUUUUAACCAAACAAUCAAGGAUUCAGUGCUUUCCGGGGGUGAGGACCAAAAUGGAGCAGGACUGGCGGCCAGCAUCACCUCUUCCAUCUUCCGUCUGUCCUGAACCACGAAGGACGGCCUAAAAAUAGCGCCUGGACCUUACACCAUGGGUGCUUUUGUUAUUUACCCUCUUUGGUCUUUUGAAAAACAUCUUUAUCGGAGCUGAGAGUCUCCCAUCAUUUA
ensembl:lncRNA LINC00840 long intergenic non-protein coding RNA 840